rnacentral:rRNA from 1 species
AAGUCAGAUGUGAAAGCCCCGGGCUCAACCUGGGAACUGCAUUUGAUACUGGCAAACUAGAGUGUGAUAGAGGGUGGUAGAAUUUCAGGUGUAGCGGUGAAAUGCGUAGAGAUCUGAAGGAAUACCGAUGGCGAAGGCAGCCACCUGGGUCAACACUGACGCUCAUGUACGAAAGCGUGGGGAGCAAACAGGAUUAGAUACCCUGGUAGUCCACGCCGUAAACGAUGUCUACUAGAAGCUCGGAGCCUCGGCUCUGUUUUUCAAAGCUAACGCAUUAAGUAGACCGCCUGGGGAGUACGGCCGCAAGGUUGAAACUCAAAUGAAUUGACGG